AGAACGAACGCUGGCGGCAGGCUUAACACAUGCAAGUCGAACGCACCGCAAGGUGAGUGGCAGACGGGUGAGUAACGCGUGGGAAUCUACCCAACCCUUCGGAAUAGCUCCGGGAAACUGGAAUUAAUACCGAGUACGCCCUACGGGGGAAAGAUUUAUCGGGGUUGGAUGAGCCCGCGUUGGAUUAGCUAGUUGGUGGGGUAAUGGCCUACCAAGGCGACGAUCCAUAGCUGGUCUGAGAGGAUGAUCAGCCACACUGGGACUGAGACACGGCCCAGACCCCUACGGGAGGCAGCAGUGGGGAAUAUUGGACAAUGGGCGCAAGCCUGAUCCAGCCAUGCCGCGUGAGUGAUGAAGGCCCUAGGGUUGUAAAGCUCUUCAGUGGGAAGAUAAUGACGGUACCCACAGAAGAAGCCCGGACUAACUUCGUGCCAGCAGCC
rnacentral:rRNA from 1 species